AGUCGUAACAAGGUCUCCGUUGGUGAACCAGCGGAGGGAUCAUUACUGCAGUACUACACUCUCUACCCUUUGUGAACUAUUAUACCUGUUGCUUCGGCCGGCGCCCGCAAGGGGUGCCGCCGGUCUCAUCAGAAUCUCUGUUUCGAACCCGACGAUACUUCUGAGUGUUCUUAGCGAACUGUCAAAACUUGUUAACAACGGAUCUCUUGCUCCAGCAUCGAUGAAGAACGCAGCGAAACGCGAUAUGUAAUGUGAAUUGCAGAAUUCAGUGAAUCAUCGAAUCUCUUGACGCACAUGGCGCCUUCCAGUAUCCUGGGAGGCAUGCCUGUCCCGAGCGUCGUUUCAACCCUCGAGCCCCUGUGGCCCGGCGUUGGGGAUCUGCCACGGCACGGCCCCUAAAACCAGUGCGGACCCGCGAAGGGCCCUCUCCUUUGCGCAGUAGCAUUCGCCUCGCAUCGGGAGUCCUCGGCGUCCUGCCUCUAACCCCCCCACAAGCCCGCUUCGGCGGCAGCCAAGGGUUGACCUCGGAUCAGGUAGGAGGAUACCCGCUGCACUUAAG
rnacentral:rRNA from 1 species